rnacentral:rRNA from 1 species
GAUUCCCUCAGUAACGGCGAGUGAAGCGGGAUAAGCUCAGACUGAAAAUCUUCGGAAUUGUAGUCUGCAGAAGCUAUGCCAGUAGGUUGGGUCAGUUAAGUCCUCUGGAAUGAGGUGCCACUGAGGGUGAUAGCCCCGUAUUGACUGACUGAAAUUUACAUACGGCAGGCUUUCAAAGAGUCGAGUUGCUUGGGAUUGCAGCUCUAAGUGGGUGGUAAAUUCCAUCUAAAGCUAAAUAUUGGUGGGAGACCGAUAGCAAACAAGUACCGUGAGGGAAAGAUGAAAAGAACUUUGAAAAGAGAGUUAAAGAGUACCUGAAAUUGCUGAAAUGGAACCGAUGAGAGGUAGUGUUGGCAUUGCAUCUCAAUGUUUACCGCUUGCGGUAGCCAUGUUUGAUGCAGUGCAAGUCAUCCUUACUUAUCUCCGCAAUAGAGAUCCCAAACCUGUAUGGGUUGGGAGCAUCGUUGUGUGGGUGAGUGACAGUGACAAAAUGCCUCUCAUCAUCCCGUCUUGAAACACGGACCAAGGAGUCUAACAUGUUUGCAAGUGCUCGGAGUUUAACCUCCCAGCGCGGAAUUAAUGUAAAUGUGAACUUGUUCACUGAGGUAGAAUGCUUAGGCUGCACUAUCGACCGACCAUGAUCUUCCGAGAGAAAGGUUUGAGUGUGAGCAUACAUGUUGGGACCCGAAAGAUGGUGAACUAUGCUUGAGUAGGACGAAGCCAGGGGAAACUCUGGUGGAGGUCCGCCGCGAUUCUAACGUGCAAAUUGAUCGUCGAACUUGGGUAUAGGGGCGAAAGACUAAUCGAACCAUCUAGUAGCUGGUUCCUCCCGAAAUUUCCCUCAGGAUAGCUGCAACCGAACAGUUUUAUCAGGUAAAGCGAAUGAUUAGAGGCCUCAGGGGUGGAACGUCCUUGACCUAUUCUCAAACUUUAAAUGGGUAAGAGCCCGGGGUUGCUUAAUUGAACUCUGCGGUCGAAUGGCGGUUGCUAGUGGGCCAAUCUGGGUAAGCUAGAUUGGCGAUGCGGGAUGAACCGAACGUCGAGUUAAAGUGCCAAAGUAUCCGCUAACCUAGAUCCCACAAAAGGUGUUGGUUCAUUAAGACAGCAGGACGGUGGCCAUGGAAGUCGGAACCCGCUAAGGAGUGUGUAACAACUCACCUGCCGAAUGAACUAGCCCUGAAAAUGGAUGGCGCUUAAGCGGAUCACUUAUACUCGACCAACCCUGCAAGUACAAAGCAGUGUUGAGUAGGGGGGCGUGGAGCUCGUUGUGCAUUCUGUGGCGUGAGCCAAGAUGAAACGGGUUCUAGUGCAGAUCUUGGUAGCAGUAGCAAAUAUUCAAAUGAGAACUUUGAAGACUGACGUGGAGAAAGGUUCCAUGUGAACAGUAAUUGGACAUGGGUGAGUCGAUCCUAAGAGAUAGGAAAAUUCUAUUUGAAAGCGUUCCUUUUUCGGAAGGAGCCGUCUAUCGAAAGGGAAUCGGGUUAAUAUUCCCGAACCAGGACGUGGAUAAUGAGUGGUAACACAAGCGAAAUCGGGGACGUUGGCGAGAGCCCUGGGAAGAGUUCUCUUUUCUUUUUAACAACUCGGUGGACCUUGGAAUCGGAUUGACCGGCGAUAAGGUUCAGCGAUUGGGAAAGCGGCACGAUUUUUGUGUCGUCCGGUGCGCUCUCGACGAUCCGUGAAAACCCGGUGGCGUUUUUUAUUUGCACCUCUGGUCGUACUCAUAACCGCCUCAGGUCUCCAAGGUGUGCAGCCUCUAGUCAAUAGAACAAUGUAGAUAAGGGAAGUCGGCAAAAUAGAUCCGUAACCUCGGGAUAAGGAUUGGCUCUGAGGGUUGGGCCUAGGGGUCUCAGGAACAAAAGAAUGGCGACCCGGAGUGGGCUGCUGCGUAAGUGGCGGCCCGCACUGGGUUGCCCUCUGGCGGUCUUGAGAGUGUCUUCGGACUUUUCCUUAGGUGUGGAACAACCAACUCAGAACUGGAGCGGACAAGGGGAAUCCGACUGUUUAAUUAAAACAAAGCAUUGCGAUGGCUGGAGACGGUGUUGACGCAAUGUGAUUUCUGCC